rnacentral:misc_RNA from 3 species
AACGCACAUUGCGCCCGGUGGUAUUCCACCGGGCAUGCCUGUUCGAGCGUCAUUUCAACCCUCAAAGCCUAGCUUUGGUGUUGGAGGAAUACCUGUAAAAGGGUACCCUCUGAAAUUUAGUGGCGGGCUCGCUAGAAUUUUGAGCGUAGUAAUUUUACCUCGUUUUUAAAGACUAGUGGGUUCUUGCCGUAAAAACCCCCAACUUUCUGAAAAUUGACCUCGGAUCAGGUAGGAAUACCCGCUGAACUUAA